GAUUCAGUAGCUCAGUAGGCAGAGCACCUGCCUUUUAAGCAGGGUGUCCGGAGUUCGAAUCUCCGCUGAAUCACCA
rnacentral:tRNA from 1 species